ensembl:snRNA U6 U6 spliceosomal RNA
GUCCUCACUUUAGUAGCACAUAUACUAAAAUUGGAACAGCACAGAGAAUAGCAUGGCCCCUGCACAAGGAUGACUCACAGACUUCUGAAGCAAUCCACAUUUUA